rnacentral:rRNA from 1 species
GAACGCUAGCGGCAGGCUUAACACAUGCAAGUCGAGGGGUAUCACGCUUUCGGGCGUGAGAGACCGGCGCACGGGUGCGUAACGCGUAUGCAAUCUACCUUUUGCAGAGGGAUAGCCCAGAGAAAUUUGGAUUAAUACCUCAUAGUAUAGAACAAUCGCAUGAUUGAACUAUUAAAGUCACAACGGCAAAAGAUGAGCAUGCGUCCCAUUAGUUAGUUGGUAAGGUAACGGCUUACCAAGACUACGAUGGGUAGGGGUCCUGAGAGGGAGAUCCCCCACACUGGUACUGAGACACGGACCAGACUCCUACGGGAGGCAGCAGUGAGGAAUAUUGGACAAUGGGCGCAAGCCUGAUCCAGCCAUGCCGCGUGCAGGAUGACGGUCCUAUGGAUUGUAAACUGCUUUUGUACAGGAAGAAACACCUCUACGUGUAGAGACUUGACGGUACUGUAAGAAUAAGGAUCGGCUAACUCCGUG